GACGUAGGGCGCGAGCGUUGUCCGGAAUUAUUGGGCGUAAAGAGCUCGUAGGCGGUCUGUCGCGUCCGCUGUGAAAACUCGGGGCUUAACCCCGGGCCUGCAGUGGGUACGGGCAGACUAGAGUGCGGUAGGGGAGACUGGAAUUCCUGGUGUAGCGGUGAAAUGCGCAGAUAUCAGGAGGAACACCGGUGGCGAAGGCGGGUCUCUGGGCCGUAACUGACGCUGAGGAGCGAAAGCGUGGGGAGCGAACAGG
rnacentral:rRNA from 1 species